UACGUAGGGCGCGAGCGUUGUCCGGAAUUAUUGGGCGUAAAGAGCUCGUAGGCGGCUUGCCACGUCGGGUGUGAAAGCCCGGGGCUUAACCCCGGGUCUGCAUUCGAUACGGGCUAGCUAGAGUAUGGUAGGGGAGAUCGGAAUUCCUGGUGUAGCGGUGAAAUGCGCAGAUAUCAGGAGGAACACCGGUGGCGAAGGCGGGGUCUCUGGGGCCGUAACUGACGCUGAGGAGCGAAAGCAUGGGGGAGCGAACAGG
rnacentral:rRNA from 1 species